CUCUUCCCUUGCUGAGCUGUGGAGGGUUCACGUUUGAAAUGACUUUCAAAAAGGCCUUUGACGGAGCCGCCGCCCCCGACUCGCCAGUGAAGAAAUGAUGUCUUAACGGGUACGAGGCGACGAGCGUUUGAGGAUGAGAAGUGGGAGCACAAGCACAGGACAGGAAUCCCAGGGAACCAGAAACACCACAGGGAGACUUGCCAGUGGGACGACAUGACUUCCUCUUCUGUUCUCUCUGGACGGCGGAGGAGAGGUCCCAGAGGCGCAUUGCACAGCCUGUGACAGCGGAGGCUCAGCACCUUGGCUCAGGGACAUUUAUUUGGCUGCCGGCAACGAAGGAACAUGAAGCAAAGGCAGGGGAGAGAAAAAUAUGAGAGACCAUACGGCCCCCAUGCAGUUGUAGCCAAAGAGAAACACAGUGACAGGUCAAUUUUCAAACACCAGCCAAAGAGGAGCGCAGGCAGCAUCCCCCUAUUCACAGAGAAGUGAAGAGAGGCAUGACCAGGAUUGCACUGCAGUAUUCACGAGACAAUGACAGUCUGAGAUUUACUACAGCCGUGCCUCCCAGCUCCUGGCAUAGAUCUUACGCACUCUGGCUAAGGUGUGUAGAGAGGCGGCCAACUAUUAUAGACAGGAGUGGAACCCAAAAUCGCCACAAAACAGCCUGUGCUGUCCAAGUCUGCCCGAACAGCCGUCUUCCCAUCAGCAGAUACGGCAGCGGUGUUACCAGAUGGGGCGUCCUCAUGGUUCCGUAUCAGUACGGCUAGAAAACUCGCCUUCAGUCACCCAGCCGGCAAAACGAAGAGUUAAAUGGGUAAUUGUGAAGAGUGGAGUUUCAGGUUCAUUUCUCAAGUCAAUAAAAGCCCUUUACAAUAGCCCUCAAGGAGUCAUUGUAUUCAAUAAACUAGGCAGAGCUGCAGCAAACCAUUUAAAGACAGAAUGGUUUUAUUUAUCAAGCUCCUCGCAGAGAGUUCUCCCACGUCCUUUUAAAUGUCACUCUGGAGCUGGAAUGGAGAAUGAAACCGCUGAGCAGGGAGCAGACGCCACAGCAGCAUCACCUGUUGGAAAGCAAACUGGGAGCUGAUAACGGCUAAGC